rnacentral:rRNA from 1 species
GACGAACGCUGGCGGCGUGCUUAACACAUGCAAGUCGAACGGAAGGACGCUGCUUUUGUUUGGUGGUCGAUUGGCGCGCGGGUGAGUGACACGUGAGUAACCUGCCCUUGUCUUUCGGAUAACUUCAGGAAACUGGGGCUAAUACCGGAUAGGAGCUCCUGCUGCACGGUGGGGGUUGGAAAGAGUCGGCGGUAGGGGAUGGAUUAGCGGGUUACGAGCUUGUUGGUGGGGUAGUGACGUACCAAGUCUUUGACGGAUAGCCGGCCUGAGAGGGUGACCGGGGUCAAUACGACUGAGAGACGGCGCAGACGGCUACGGGAGGCAGCAGUCGGAAGUAUUGCGCAACGGGGGGGAGUCUGUGGUAGAAACGUCGGGAGCGGGAUGAUCUGUUAUGGGUUGUAAACAGAUGUGGCAGGUGACGAAGAGUGAGUGACGGUAAUGGAUAAAGAAGCACCGGCUAACUACGUG